rnacentral:rRNA from 1 species
AUUGAACGCUGGCGGAAUGCUUUACACAUGCAAGUCGAACGGCAGUACGGGGGCAGCCCUGGUGGCGAGUGGCGAACGGGUGAGUAAUACAUCGGAACGUGCCCGGUCGUGGGGGAUAACGUAGCGAAAGUUACGCUAAUACCGCAUACGAUCUGAGGAUGAAAGCGGGGGACCUUCGGGCCUCGCGCGAUCGGAGCGGCCGAUGUCAGAUUAGGUAGUUGGUGGGGUAAAGGCCUACCAAGCCGACGAUCUGUAGCUGGUCUGAGAGGACGACCAGCCACACUGGGACUGAGACACGGCCCAGACUCCUACGGGAGGCAGCAGUGGGGAAUUUUGGACAAUGGGCGCAAGCCUGAUCCAGCCAUUCCGCGUGCAGGACGAAGGCCUUCGGGUUGUAAACUGCUUUUGUACGGAACGAAAAGGCUCUGGCUAAUACCUGGGGCUCAUGACGGUACCGUAAGAAUAAGCACCGGCUAACUACGUG